UAUAAAUGCAUAAUUUUUGUAAUUUUAUAUUUCCUAGAUUUUUAAACCAAUAAUAUUUUAAGAAAUGUAAUUAACGUUCUUGAACUUCACAACUUCUAAUUAUUAGUUGACAAAAAUUACAUUGAAAAUAUCAAAUAUGUAUCUUUUUGAAACAAAAGUUUUCUCUAGAAUAUGGAUCUUUUAGGAACGGAUGGAGUAUAAAAUAGAAAUAAACCAUUGAUAAAACACUCAUAUAUACAAACUGAUUUUUGGUUGUUGAAAAAAUUGGUAAAUUAAAUAUUAAAUUAUGUUCUACUGUAAGUAGAUUUCGUCUUCUACAGAAAAUGUGUUAGAAAUUGAAUUUCAGAUUAAACAAGUUCAUCUAUUAUUUUUAGAACGAACAAUCAGCUUUUAAUUAAAUUUCUAAAUAUGGAGAAUGCAAAUUCUACUAAUUGUAAAGUUAUUUAUUUUUUCUCAGAAUACACUUUUUACUUUUAUAAGAGCAUGUUUAAUGCGAGCUCCUAACCGCGUUUCUUAGUGUAAUUAACCCCAAAAAUAAAAGAAAAAACGAAUUAAUGCGAAGGCACAUCUCCUAAUUUAAAGCUCGAAGGCACGGUUCUUAGCUGCGACGAGUCACCAUGGUAUUGGCUAGAGGAACGGUGGAGUCAAUUUUGUUUCUUUCUUUCUUUUCUUUCUCUCUUCGGUUCAUCUCCGAAGGCGACGAAAAUGGCGAUUUCUCGCCCUGUCGGUGGCUCUUGUCGACGCCUCUAUGGGUGUAUCUUGUCGACGAUGGAAAACGGCAAACUCUCAACCGGUGGCUAUCCUCGACGAAGGAAACGGUGAUUUCUCUCUCUGUCGGUGUUCUCCUCGAUGAAACGGCUCUCUGAGACGAAGAAAACCGGCGAUUGUUUCUCAAGGGAAUCGAAAGGUAAAGUGUGUCUUUGAUUCUUUCAACUAUGCAUGUCUUUGAUUGUGCUCUUUCUUGUUCGUGAACCGUAGUAAAUUGAAAAACUCUAAUCUUUUUUUUUAAAUUUGGUUCUGUCUUUGUAUCGUUACAUGGAUGGAUCAAGAAGCAUGAUCCUGGCAUGAUCCAGGAUCGUAUGAAGCUGCAACAAAAGGCCAACGAUUCUUCAUACAGGUCUUGUACUCACGAGAGUGGAGCAUUGUCUUCCUGUUGAGAGGUCAAGAGAGAGAGGUCAGGUCUUGUAUUCGCAUAUCAGGAUCAGUCUCUCUUAAAAGAACGUCAAGAAUGUGACGAGAAAUGUAUGUGUGCUGUGUUUUAGUCUUUUGUGUGUUGUACUCUCGUGUGUGUACAGGUAUGUGUUGUAGUAUUUUGUGUGUACAGGUCUUGUAUUCACAUGUAUCUGGGUCUGUGUUGUAGUCUUCUGUGUGUUGUACUCUUGUGUAUGACUUGUAAUUGAAAAGAGUUAUCACGAGAAAUAUUGGUGUUGUUGUAGUCUUGUGUCACAGACACACUUGUACUUCACAAGAAUUAUCACAAACACACUUUAAAAAUCAGAAACAAGAAUUAUCACAAACUCUCUAUUCUCUUUCUCACAUUCCUCCUAUUCUCUCCAUUCUCUUUCUCUUUUAUCCCAAAUUCUUCUUUCCAUUCGCUUUCUAUAUCUGAAACAAUUUAUAAUUUGUAAACAAGAAUCUAAAACAAACCUCUCAUGGCAUCUUCUUCUAGUCACAAUUUGGAGGGCUCAAUUGAUGAAACGUUAUUUUGAUCAACAUCAUCAAAAAUUUAAGAAUCUGCGCAACGUUUAUGGUGGGUGAUCAAGAAGAUGAAGAGAAGACAAGGAAAAACAUAGUUUUUAUCGAAAUAAAUCGUGAAGAAGGUCAUCUCCGUUUAUGGAAUCAUUAUUUCAAUGACACUCCAACAUAUCCUGAAAAUCUAUUCCGACAACGAUUUAGAAUGAACAAGCCAUUGCUCAUGCAUAUUGUUGAUCGGCUCGGCAAUGAAGUUCAAUUCUUUCGUCAAAAGAAAGACGGUGUCGGAAGGCUUGGUCUCUCUAUACUUCAAAAGUGUACAGCAGCUAUUUGUGUGUUGGCAUAUGGUUCAACGCUUGAUACAGUCGACGAAUACCUCUGGCCCAGUGCAACUACUACUUGGUUAUGUCUGGAAAAUUUUGUGGAAGCAAUAAUAAAUAUGUUCGGCGAUGAGUACCUAAGAAGACCAACACCGGAUUUAUCUUCAGCGUCUACUUCAUAUUGGAGAGCUUCGUGGAUUUCCCGGGAUGAUAGGAAGCAUCGAUUGUAUGCAUUGGGAGUGGAAGAAUUGUCCCACCGCUUGGAAAGGUCAAUAUUCUCGUGGUUCGGGAAAACCCACAAUCGUUUUAGAAGCGGUUGCUUUAUAUGAUCUUUGGAUAUGGCAUGCGUUUUUCGGACCUUCAGGUACCUUAAAUGAUAUCAAUGUUCUUGAUCGCUCACCUAUUUUUGAUGACAUAAUAAAUGUCCAAGCUCCGCAAGUGAAUUUCUCGGUCAAUGGAAGAGAGUAUCAUUUGGCUUACUAUCUCACCGAUGGUAUUUAUCAGAAAUGGGCCAUUUUUAGACAAUCUAUUCCAAUACCACAAGGCCCGAAAGCAGUUUUAUUUGCUCAACGUCAAGAAGUUGUCCGAAAAGAUGUCGAACGUGCUUUCAGAGUCUUGCAAGCUCGAUUUCCCAUUGUUAAAAAUCCGGCACUUUGUUGGGAUAAAAUCAAGAUUGGAAAUAUUAUGAGAGCAUAUAUCAUACUCCAUAAUAUGAUAGUAGAAGACGAACGAGAUGAAUACACUCAAUUUGAUGUUUCAGAUUUCCAACAAGGAGAAGGCAACGGAAGUUCACAUGUGGAUCUCACGUAUUCUACAUAUAUGCCUAUGAAUAUCGCCAUUAUGAUGGGUGUUCGAACUAGAAUUCGUGAUAGACAAGAGCAUCAACAACUGAAAUCUGAUUUGGUUUAAAAUAUAUGGUGUCAAUUUGGACGUAAUCAAGACAACAACUGAGCUUCGAUGCCUCUUUCAAAUUAUUAUUGUUUAUUUUAGUAAUCUUUGUUUUUGUGUUAUUACUUUAAAUUAUAUGUUUAAAAUGUAAUGUUUGACUUUUUUUAUUUAAUAAAUAAAAUUAAUCUUCAAAAAAAAAAUGUUUACUAAUUUUUUUUUAAGAACCCUUAACUAAGAAACUUCCAUUGGAGCAGCAAAAUUAAGUGUCUCUUAACAAAAGUUCUUAACUUAACUUUUUUUUUUUACAACAAAAGGCUAAAAAGUAAUGUGAUUCCUGAUCCAAGAGCCACCUUGGGGGAAUUUAGUCAACAUAAACCAUAGCAGAAGGCUGAUUCCUAGCACCUCGUGCCAACUUAUCCGCCAUUAUGUUUUGUGCCCUCAGAAUAUGUUGAAUAGUAAAGGGGUGAAAAAAUUCCUUACAUCGCAGAAACUCUUCCAUGUGUAUAGUGAACGCCGGCCAUUUUGUAGGUGUAGGCACCAUCUGCACCAGUUGAGAGCAGUCAGUUGCAAACACCACUUCUGAGAUUUGUAGGAUCUUCAUGCACUUCAUCGCCCAUAUCAAAGCUUCACAUCCAGCAUGUAAAGGUGAUAGACUCUUGCGAAUAGCCAUUGCACCCAUCAUAAUAUCAGUUGAUCCACCUUUUUUGUAAACACAUCCUUGUCCUGUACAAGAAUCAUGUUCCCUCCAUGCCCCAUCAAUGUAACACUUACAUAUCGCCAAAGCAUCACGGUUCUCCACAAUACAUGGGGGAGCCUGAUUUAUUAAAUUUUUGGUCCGAGAUUCAGCCCACAAAACACUUUCAAUUUCCGUAGUCCGGAGAAGAUCUAAAGGAUCUCUUAUCUUGUUUUUAAAAAUCUUAGCAUUCCGAUUCUUCCAGAUAUACCAUAAAAUCCAUGGAAAAUAGCUCAAAUCUAAUUCUUUUGGUGUCCGCGAAAAGAGAUAGUCCAUGUUUGUAAAAAGAGAUGGGAUCGGAGCAUGAUGGGAUAUUAGAUAAAGUCCAAAUUUGAAGUGCUAAUGGACAUUCAAAAAACAGAUGAUUAAUAGAUUCUUCUUCAGCCCCACACAUUUGACAUUGCAUAUCACAUUUGAUUCCCCAUGAGUGAAGAUUCAUGUACACCGAUAAACAACCAGAAAUUAUUUGCCAAACAAAAUGUUUCAAUUUUGGUGAGCAUUGUAACUUCCAAGAGUGCGCAAUAAUGGUUUUGUAUCUGGUCCCAUAUCCCUAUACUGAGUACCUUUAUCAGGAUAUAAUUUCUCUGUCCGAUAGCCUGAUUUUAUCGUAUAUCUACCAUGAUCCGUAAAAUGCCAGCCAUAUGAAUCUGGCUUAGGGUUACGACUAAUGGCUAAACUCCGUAUAAUACUCACAUUGUCCUGAUGGACAUAUGCGUCAAGUAAAUCCAGGUUCCAAGAAAGAUCAACUAGAUUAAUUAAAUCCUCCACUUUAAGUAAUGGAUUCAAGAAUUUAUUUGAAAAUUUUGGGAUUGCUGACCUCGGGUGAGGAGCGGAGAUCUAAGGAUCAUUCCAGACUGAAAUGGUUAAACCUAUUCCCACUCUUUUGAUUAGCCCUUUAUUAACUAGAGAUCUAGCUGAUGUGAUACUCCUCCACCCAUAUGAGGGAGAAUAUGAUCUGAUAGGAUCCAAAGGAUCUAACUUUCGGUAAUAUCUACCUUUAAAAACCCUUGCAAACAAAGAAUUUUGUUUGUCGAUUAAUCUUCACAACUGUUUUGCUAAUUAAGCCUUAUUAAACUUUACUAAGAAUCCAUUAACUUUACUAAUUAAACAUUUAUUAAGAAUCCAUUAUGGGUUUGCUCCAAUAAACAUGCUCUAAAGUAUUCUAAAUUCUCGAAAUGCAAAAUCUACACAAUACUCAAACGGCUACAAGAGCUAGAAUUUGCUUAUUGGAUUUUUUUUGGUUUUACGCAGUGUAGAAAAUAUUUUUACAGAUAAAAAAACAUGAUUUUGACGAAAAUUUGAAAAUUCCAGUUAAGAAAAAAUUCUAAAAAUAUUUGUAAUAUUCUAACUUCCCUAAAACGUAUGUAGGUCGAUUUACCUUGGAAAAUUGCCACAUAUACCACAUUCAUAGUACCACUUUUCAUGUUUACACUAAUUAUUUUUACCCUCAUUUUUAAUGAAGGGUAAAGACACUUAUACUCCUAGGGUUAACUAAUCUAGAUUUAGGGUUUAGAGUUGAGGGGUGGAGUAGAGUUUGUGGAAUGUGAAAUUUAGGAUUCUAAUAAAUAUAUAAAUAAAUA